AACGAACGCUGGCGGCAUGCCUAACACAUGCAAGUCGAACGAAGCCUUCGGGCUUAGUGGCGCACGGGUGGGUAACGCGUGGGAAUCUGCCUCUUGCUUCGGAUUAACAGUAAGAAAUGAUUGCUAAUACCGGAUGAUGUCUUCGGACCAAAGAUUUAUCGGCAAGAGAUGAGCCCGCGUAGGAUUAGGUAGUUGGUGGGGUAAAGGCCUACCAAGCCGACGAUCCUUAGCUGGUCUGAGAGGAUGAUCAGCCACACUGGGACUGAGACACGGCCCAGACUCCUACGGGAGGCAGCAGUGGGGAAUAUUGGACAAUGGGGGAAACCCUGAUCCAGCAAUGCCGCGUGAGUGAUGAAGGCCUUAGGGUUGUAAAGCUCUUUUACCAGGGAUGAUAAUGACAGUACCUGGAGAAUAAGCUCCGGCUAACUCCGUGCCAGCCGCCGCGGUAAGAC
rnacentral:rRNA from 1 species